UGUUUGCUAAGUUUUAAGAAAGAAUCGGCAAGACCAGCUCCCCUUUCAGUACGCUUGUAUAAAAUCAAUUGACGACCAAACUCGUCGUUCUUACUCAGAGAUAACCCAACAAUUACCAAAUCAGAAUUUUGCACUUCGGCAAAACUUUUCAAUUCAUCUUCCCAUCCGAGACGUUUUUUCUUGAUCCAAUCUAAUCCCUUUCCAACACUGGCAUAAUUGACGACUAUUCCGUCCGGAAAAUACUGUUUUAAAUCCCUGCGUAGUAGAUCAUCAAAAGAAAAACCCUUACAGCUCUUCUUUUUCUCUUUCAGAGUAUCAAAAAACUCAUCUCGAACCCAAUCUUUUGGCACAAAUGAGCAUAAGUCAUUUACUAUUUUAACAUCGGUAUCAGUAGUCUUUUCAUUUUUUAAAUUUCCAGUAUCAAUUAAAAUAGGGCCAAGUGCCAAAACAGCAAGGUUGGUUGCUGUUUGGUGAAGUUCAGAUACUUUGGAAUCAUAUAGAGAUCUAAUGACAGGCAUAAAAUAUCGGCAAACUAAAGUACAGCAGCUACCGCAUUCCUCAAUGAUUCUUGGAUCAGCAUGUAAGGAUCCCCCUUCAUCUUUGUGGUGAUCUAUAAUACCAGCGAUACUGCCGUUGAAAUUUUCUAGGUCUUUACGGUCCAAAGAAUUGUGAUCAACUAAAUAAAUAGGAUUACUGAAUAUUCUUUUUGGUAAUUUUACAAUAUCAUCUAAAAAGACAAUAUCAUCGGAAGAUAUUGAUGCUAAGUUCAACAAAUAAGACAGUUCAGGCCUAAGACGUAGCUCCUUUCGAGGAAUGUUAAAAAAAGGUACUACAAUCCUACCCAGCUGUUUUCUUUGCAGGCAAUACGCAUAUACGAUUGAACUAGCGCAACUGUCAAGAUCUAAGACGAAUUGUUAAUUCUCGUCUAUUACGACUAAUGUACCUGCUGAUUCAUUUCCACUAACAAAGCUAAAAGACGGGGCAGACGAUACAGUCGAAGCAUUUAAGAGGAGAUUUCGUAUUUGCUCCCUUCCGUUUUCUAAAAAUCUGCCUAAUUUCAUUGUACCAAAAGAUUGAAAAGGUUACUUCAGGCUUUAGGUGCAAGCCAAUAUAUCUAAUCUAUUACUACCAAAGUAACAAGUUACUCAAUAUAGCAAGGAAUUUGACUGAUACACUUAAAUCAAUUAUGAGUAUUUUCAUAAGGAAUUGAAUAAAGGUGAUAAAAACAAUAAUAAAUGAGAGAAGAUGAAAAGAAAUUAAAUCGGUCGAAAACAUUACGCUCCCAUGAGAUUUCCGAAUUAAAUGAGUAAUACUCUAAAUCAAAACUGGCCGAUUAGUAGUCAUAAGUGAAUUUGUAUUCGUCAUUGUGAAUACUAGAACUAUCGAUAGAAUGGAGAAUUUUAUAGAGAAGCUGCUUGGUUCAUAACUUGCAACAAAAUUUUUGGAUUCUUAGAAUUCAUUCAGGUUAGUAAAUUGUUAAACCAAAAUGUAAAAUUCCAAAGAAUAUGACGGUAACUCGAGCACAAAAGCAGAUAACCAAAAUACCUGUCAAGAAAAGAACUAAAAUAGAUUACAAAAAACGACGAAACAAAUGUUUAAGCCGCUUCCUGCUGUUCCGGAGUACGUUCAAAUUUUUCCAAUAAAGUCCGGUCUCCUGCAUAUCCGCAUUUAGAUGCCAUCAUGUCAUAAAAAUAGGACAAAUCAAUACGAACGCCUGGCCAUUUGGAUGGAUUUCUUGCAAUAUCCGUAAGUUCCAACUGCAGUCUAUCUUCGAACAUCCGAAUUACAUCUGGUAUUACUUCUACACAGUCACGUUGUGAGUAGCGAUGUAAAACUUUGUAGAGCUUUAUAAGACUUUUUGAAAGAUCAAUAAUGUAUCCAUGAGGACUGUCAAUAUCCCACGAAAGAGAAGCAAUCUGGGAACAACUGAUAGCAACUCGUUCCCUCAUGAGACUAACAAACUUAUCAUGAAUUUGUAAGUGAUGAACGGUGAAAUCUUGAUCCAACUUAUUAGUUUCAUUGGUGAGUCGAGUUCCUGUUACUCUUGACAAGUACCUGCACAUUGAAUUAAGGGAUAAUUGAAACAAUGCGAUAGUUUGAGAGGCAAGUGCAAUAUGCUUCCCAAGUACUUUACUAAGGCCAGACGACCGCACUGUCCCCGCUCCCAAUAUUAAUUGAUAAACCCGAGAAUUGAGUGUACGAAACAUAUCUAGCAUACCAGUCUGAAACUCUGGAGCCAAUCUUGAAAAGUGAGCAAGAAGUUUACCAUAAUCAUCCAAUGUUUCUAACAACGUAACAGAGGACCGAACAAUAUGUAAUGAUUGUUUUCCAAACGAAACCGUAGCAGUACAGUCCUCUGAAACUUUUACAUGGUGAACCCUAUGAUUUUCAUCUUCUUUUUCUGCUUCAGGAGAUAAUAGUCGCGUCCAUUCUACGGGAGUAUUACCGGAGCAUUCAAACACGCGAUUAGCUAGAUCUUGACAGGAUGGUUCAACAGGUAUCGCUUCCCAUAGCUCCCUUUCAAAGCUUGAUGCCAAUUUCUGAGUAGAAUAUCGUUGAAAAUUUUUAAACCAGUCCAGUAAUUGCCUCAUUAUAGUUGGAAUAAAUGAGCUUUGUGUGAUUCCGCAAAGACUUUCAAGCUCAUUAUGAAAAAUUAUGUGUAAAGAAAAAAGGUAUAUAACAUUAUUAGGAGGAUAAGUAUCCAAGACUCGAAAUCGAAGAUUAUUAAUAGUUGUCACUUGUUGUGUAACAACAUCGGAACUCGUGGCCAUUAAAUCAUUAAGAAUCACAGAUAGGUGAUAUUGUUUAGUAUCUUUUUUCGAUAAAAUAUCUAUUAAAACUUUUAUUUGGCUGCGAAUGCGACGCAGACAUUCCAAUGAUGAAAAAUAUAUAUUCGUCAACAUUUCUGCAAAUUCCGUGAUGCUCAUGCUCUGAAAAGGAUUCGCCGCUGAUGAACUUCUUCUAGAGCUAUCUGAAAGACUAGAAAGGCUGGCUGCACUCAAGCUGCGACGUAAAUCAGAGGAUUUACGAACACUGCGCAUCUCUACACCAUCGGUAAAAUACUGUUGUGCUAAAUUUUCAAAUGCCUCAAAUACAGCAGUCUUGUAAAGAGUCAAUGCAGCCUGCAAACUGUCCGUUAAAGUAAGACAGUCGAUGCAAACGUCCACUUCAUGAAGAAAGUCAGCGUCAAAUUCCAUGGCUGAAGGAAGUGAUUUCGUUACCGAAGGUAUCAACCUGUUCUUAGACAAAUAAAUAUCUUUGAGUUCAUUGGAGUCAAGGAUAGUAGAAAAUUUGUGCAUGUCAGACGUUAAAAAUUUAGAAAACUGUUGAACAACACUUUGGGAUACAGUAUGGUAAAGAACCUUAUGCUCCUCUCUUAAACUUUUAACCGAUGGAAGGGAUAGCAAAUCAACAUUUAAUUCCGUAGAUUUCUUCUUUAGUUGGGUUACAAUGGAGUUUAUUCCAUUUAUAGCCUCGAGGAAUCUCUGGUCUUUAACGUCUUCAGAUACCUUCUUAUGUUCACUGUAAAUAUCUUCUAAAGUUUGAACAACUUUUUUCAGCUGGGUGAGCUGAUGACAAGCUAAUUCUUCAGAAGAAAUAGCGUCCAUAUGCCGAUCGCACAUCACGUUGACUUCCGUAAGUUUUUCGAGCAAGUGUUUUGUCUCCUCCACAUUGUCCCUAGUUUCUUUUUUUAGUUGCUU
rnacentral:lncRNA from 1 species